rnacentral:tRNA from 1 species
CAGAUAAUAAUUUAAAAAAAAUAUUGGUUUUGGAGAUUAAUUAUCACAUUAUUGUGUUAUCUGA